UUUCCAACGAACGUCCGAAUGCCUGUAGUUCUUUCACGAAAGUUGUUCCUUACGUCCUAAGCUUCGAAAACACUAUAUAUAUGCAGCUUAUACGCACCUAUAAACAGUUCAUAAUUGAGUUUAAAUCGGCAGAUUUGUCAUAUGACCCUAACUUGACGAAACGUCCGUAGAACUUUGUAAAAACGAUCAUAAAAGAGUCCCAAUAUGAUUACCUUGGCAAACCAAGUAUAAAGCUUGAAGAACCAGCAAGAACAACAAAUUCCUAUCUUCCAAGAAUAGAUCCAAACACAGCUAAUAGAAGGGGGAAACGAUUGCAAAGCGUAGAGAUUGAGUUUCUAGGCACGGGGACUAACUUUAACGGUAGAAAUCGUUAAAAAUGUACCUUAAUCACUCAAGACCACCAUGGAAUCCUCUCUUCAGCUCCCUCACUGUUUU
rnacentral:lncRNA from 1 species